UGGGAGAGAACAAGCGCUUUGUGGGUGAUCAUUUCUUCCAGUUUAGGCCAUCCUUUGUCAUCUAACUUUUAGUGUUUGGAACUCACCUACUUUUGUUUCUUUAUGUAGAUAUUGUUGGGUCAUAGUGAGUGUCUCUGCUGCUGCAUUUCUCUGCAUUGCGCGCCAGCCAACUCUGACCACCAAACGCACUAUAGUCCUGGAAGACCACUUUUAUUUCAUUUUCUCUGUUCUUGAGGUUUAUAUAUGGUUCAAACUUCAAACAUAUUAAUUAAUCAACUCCAUUGAGGUGGCACUGAGAAAAUGAUUUAAAUGCUGGCCUCAUGCAAACAAAAGCUGGCUUGCUUCUGGAAAACUUGCUAGUUUCUUGGGGGAACCUGACCUGUAUGUGGGUUUGUCCGUGUUUAUUUCAGAUGGUCCUCUCUGUAGUGCCCCCGUUUUCUACUAUGUAUGGGGCAUUUAACUCUGGGCCGGAAUCAUUGUUGACUAGUAACAGUAAAACUUUGGAACUGUAAUUCUACUUGUGUGCUAGUUGUCGUAACAAACAAGCACAUUCGUUUAAUUACCGGUACUAUAUUUGGUUGAAUGAGCUCUUCUUUCCCCCUAAAUCUAGUUCUUCAUUCAUAGCCCUCAGCAUCAUGAAUCUGAAUUUGUUUAAUUGCAUUGUUUCCAGGUGCAUCAGUUACUUAAGUUCAUUGCAAAAUUUUCAGAACAUCCAAAUGGCAAGGUAUUGCUAUGGAAAAUGGGAAUUGCACAGGUUCUUAAUAAGUUGCUAAAGAACUGCAGCAACGCAUCUUACUUGGAAGAUAAAGCGAUCUCUGAAAGAGGAGCCUACAGAAGUGACCAACUUAUGCUCAAAUGGAGGAUUCCCUUAUUCAGAUGUCUCGCAUCUAUCUUCAGUGCCCAACCAUCUGGCAAAGAGCAGACUGCUAUUGAAGAGUCCUCAGAGAAUGCUAGCGUGGAGGAGUGCUCUUCUAUCAUGCAUCACCUCUUGGUCUUAUGCCAUGUAAAAUAACUUUCGUGUUAUCUAUGAUAAGAUGGUUGUCGGAUCGGCAGCGUUUACUUCUCUAUUUGAUUCUCAAGCUUAGCUCACUACUUCUGUAGUGAAGCCAGGAUGUGGUCUGUGUUUUGUUGUGGUUUCUUUAGUUUUACUACUCUGAAAGAUUGAUAUCAAGCUUUUGUAAUGAAAUACUAUCAAGUGUUCCCUACUCCAGAAGCCAUUUAUGAGUUGAAACUGCCCUGUGCAGUUAGUUCCUUUUUUUGGUUUCAACAGUAGUCCUAGUUAAAAGGGUCAACAACAUGUUGGUGUCAUGUGUCAAGUGUCUGAGAUCAUACAUUGGAAGUUCAUACUGUCGGAGGUGGAAAACCUAAACGAGUAGCUGAAGUUUGAAAAUGGUUUAUUAAAUACAUGAGAAGGCUAUGCUGAGAAUGAGGACACGGAAUGAUAAUAAUGUUUCUUCAGCUGUUACUUUCUUUUUCUUCUUCCUUUGACAGGGUUGUGUUGCUAAUUAGAUUUAAGAAACUGAAUUCCAAAAUUUUGUGUGCGACCAUUUUAAAAUACCCCAGAUCCCCAAGUACACAUGAAUUAUGUCAUAGUUAAAUUAAUUAACAUAUUACCGAGCCCCUCAUUCUAGUUUUUGAAGCAAGAGGAUUUUCUUGUAGAGUUCUAUUAGGAUUGUUAUGCUAUAAAAUUUACUCAUUGAGUUAACAGAGCAUAUGUUCAGUCUGUUACUUGUGAUUAAGUUGCUAAUAUGACACUUGUCUGAAUUUCUUAAUCAUGUCAAGCUGGACAACAUGCAAUGCCAAUAUUUUGCAUGAGAGAGGACUGAUAUUGUAAACUGGAUAGUAUGAGGCUAUGAGCUGACAAUUAAACUCCUAGAAUUCAAUAAUCACAGUGCUAACUGCUAAGUUAUUUCAUAACAUUCAUGUCAGUAUCUUCGCUUGUCCUGUGGGUAUAUUUGGUCAGCUAUGCACUAAGGAUCUUCAACAUCAAUAUUUGCAAACUUUUCCCCACCUCAUGCGUGGUACUUUCUCCUAGUUUAGUUGGCACAUGUCCAUUUUUUCCCCGUACUUCAUUUCUGAAUUGUUGAGCUGUUUGUAGACAGAGAAUCCAUUCUUCUCUCGUGUUUUUUGUUUUAAUCAGUGGCUCUUCUGCUUACUUCUUUGCGGCCUUUUCAGGCUCUCCCUAUAUUCCUUGACAGGAUUUUCAAUCCUGUUCUUGCAAUUAUAUUGUCAGUGACAUUUGUUCUUGCCUUUGGGGAGGUAAUGCAUCUUAUGUCCAAGCAUUUAUAUUUCUGUUACCGGCCCACAGAUUAUCUGAUUGAUCAUCACAUUUCGACAAUCAGGUUAUACCUCAAGCAAUAUGUACCAGGUAUGGGCUGGCAGUGGGUGCUAGCUUUGUUUGGCUCGUACGCAUCGUCAUGUUCAUUGCCUAUCCUAUUGCUUACCCUAUUGGGAAGGUAAAUCAGCAAAGUCACAUUACUCAAUAGAAAAGUGUUAAUUUGUACUGUAUCAUAAUCGUUUGAAGCUUAUCCAGUGGCCUAGAUUUUGAAUUCCAAUGAAUUAGACUAUUAUUAUGAGGCCUGGGCUCACUGCUCUUUGGUGCCAUUGUUGAUGGACAAGGUCAUGAAGUGAUAUUUUGGUUACACUUCUCUAA